GGGCCUUUGGUGUCAACGGCUAGCACACAGGACUUUUAAUCCUGGAGGUCAGGGUUCGAAUCCCUGGAGGCCCACCA
rnacentral:tRNA from 1 species